ACUCCUACGGGAGGCAGCAGUGGGGAAUAUUGGACAAUGGGGGAAACCCUGAUCCAGCCAUGCCCGCGUGUGUGAAGAAAGGCCUUCGGGGUUGUAAAAGCACUUUCAGUGGGAGGAAAGGUUGAUGUUAAUAACAUCAGCUUGAGUACCCACAGAAGAAGCACCGGCUAAACUCCGUGCCAGCAGCCGCGGUAAUACGGAGGGUACAAGCGUUAAUCGGAAUUACUGGGCGU
rnacentral:rRNA from 1 species